rnacentral:lncRNA from 1 species
CGUCUAUUCCGGAAAACCGUAUUUAAAAGCAGGAUUGACGACCAAAGAAAAAUGAGAAAGUAACAUUUUAAUGUGGAGCUUAGUAAUCGCCUAGAAUGAAUGGCGAUAUACAGUUUACUGCACCCUCCAAUGCGCAAAAGAGGCAGGAUGGCAAAAUUCAUGACUAUCUUAAGCAAGCCAGGAGACUGCUAAAAAGGAAAGUAGCUUAGAAGUGACCAAUAUGUCAAGGUCCCAUGAGAAGACUGAAAAAAAGAGAAGAAAGAGGAAAGAAAAGAAUGACAAGAAAGAGAAAGAAAGAAACCAAUAUGCUCUUUGUUCUUUGCUUUUGCUUCCUCAAGCUUUUCUCUGUCUACAAAGCCAACCUCUCCUGCUCAGCUCAUCAGAACAUUCACUCCACUUUCUGGAAUGAAGUGUUGCCUGAUCCUAGAGUCGCAAUAAAGC